AAACGACUCUCGGCAACGGAUAUCUCGGCUCUCGCAUCGAUGAAGAACGUAGCGAAAUGCGAUACCUGGUGUGAAUUGCAGAAUCCCGCGAACCAUCGAGUCUUUGAACGCAAGUUGCGCCCGAGGCCAUUUGGCCGAGGGCACGCCUGCCUGGGCGUCACGC
rnacentral:rRNA from 1 species